rnacentral:rRNA from 1 species
GACGAACGCUGGCGGCGUGCUUAACACAUGCAAGUCGAACGGAAAGGCCCUGCUUUUGUGGGGUGCUCGAGUGGCGAACGGGUGAGUAACACGUGAGUAACCUGCCCUUGACUUUGGGAUAACUUCAGGAAACUGGGGCUAAUACCGGAUAGGAGCUCCUGCUGCAUGGUGGGGGUUGGAAAGUUUCGGCGGUUGGGGAAGGACUCGCGGCUUAUCAGCUUGUUGGUGGGGUAGUGGCUUACCAAGGCUUUGACGGGUAGCCGGCCUGAGAGGGUGACCGGCCACAUUGGGACUGAGAUACGGCCCAGACUCCUACGGGAGGCAGCAGUGGGGAAUAUUGCACAAUGGGCGGAAGCCUGAUGCAGCAACGCCGCGUGCGGGAUGACGGCCUUCGGGUUGUAAACCGCUUUCGCCUGUGACGAAGCGUGGGUGACGGUAAUGGGUAAAGAAGCACCGGCUAACUACGUG